CACGUAGGGUGCGAGCGUUGUCCGGAAUUAUUGGGCGUAAAGAGCUCGUAGGCGGUGUGCCGCGUCGGCCGUGAAAACCUGCAGCUUAACUGUGGGCUUGCGGUCGAUACGGGCAUCACUGGAGUUCGGCAGGGGAGACUGGAAUUCCUGGUGUAGCGGUGAAAUGCGCAGAUAUCAGGAGGAACACCGGUGGCGAAGGCGGCUCUCUGGGACGGUACUGACGCUGAGACGCGAAAGCGUGGGGAGCGAACAGG
rnacentral:rRNA from 1 species